rnacentral:rRNA from 2 species
UGAUUGUUAAUUUAAUGGCCGCGGUAUUUUGACCGUGCGAAGGUAGCAUAAUCAUUAGCCCAUUAAUUAUGGGAUUGUAUGAAUGGUUCGACGAAAUAUUAACUGUCUCUAGUUAAUUAUUUAUAAUUUAAUUUUUUAGUUAAAAAGCUUAAAUUUUUUUAAAGGACGAGAAGACCCUAUAGAUCUUUAUUUUUUUUAUUAAUGUUUUUUUUUUGUUUAUUUUUUAAAUAUUUAUAUAUAUUAUUUUGUUGGGGUGAUAUUGGGAUUUAAUUAACUCUUUUUUUUUUU